UGUAAAAUGUAACAUGCAAAAUAUGGAUUUACUAUCACCUCAUUUUCCAAUGAUUAUCAAAUGAUUAGUUCAAAGCAGUUUGAAGAUUCAGUCUCUCUAAACCCCUCCUUUAUGGGAAUGUACUCUGCUUUGGUCAGAUGGCCCGGUCUGUUGUGAGUGGUCUACCGUGUACAGCAUGUGUCAGAAAUUAUAUGCCCAUUGCCACAGUUCCGUAUUUUGAAUGCUCUAUAGAAAAUAUAAUCUAUUAUUUAUGUUCAGAGUCAAUUCUUUCUUUUAGGAAACAUUCACUUUAUUUAUCUUGCUCUUUCAACUUUAUAACUUUGCAGAGUGUUUUUAUUCACAAACAGCUACAUUACACAUGGCAUGAAAGGCAAUUCGAAAUGGCAUAACAGGGGCACUUUAAUUUCAACCUCUGGUUAUGUUGCCUAGUUGUGAUGAAUGGCAUCUUCGUAUUAACAUGUUUGAAUAAUGAAAUGUAUCCCCUUGAUCUUGUUUGACUGUGAUGACAGAGUCAUUGAUUUCAAAUCUUAAUCAUGGAAUCAAAACCUCUUAGGAGGAGUCAGCUAGUCAUUGUCUGAUCCUCUUAAAACAGACCUGGGUCAGAAGUCAAUAACCAAUUACUGCAAUAAGCAAUGGUAGUAAGGGGUGCUUCUCUCACUGGGUCUGCACUUCUUGUGUCCUUCGGCCUUUUGUGUUCAGAGAUCAUUUCACUGUUAUUUAGCAUGCUAAUGGUUUGCAGGAUCUCUGUAGAGCACAUCUACUAAUCGUACACUCUCAUGGCACUCCCCAAACCUCAUAAGCAAUCAGAGAGGCUACUGGAACAUGACAGUUCUCCAGCAGGGCCGAGGGAGACACAGCGGCUCAGGCUGGCAGAUUGUCUCGCACCAAUAUCCCAUGUCAACACAGCCCUGGGGUACCAGAGAAGCCAUCAAGCACUCCCUUCCUGUCUUUCUGCCUCUGAAUCAAAAGUGAGUGAGCUGCAUUCAUGCCAUCAUAGCCAUGCUCCUGGUGUGAAGGCUGUUCCAUAAGAUUAAACCGUUAAGACAUCAGUUGAUGAGAGGACAAAAAGAGUACAUGGGUUUUAUGAAUGAUUUUCACUCAUUAUGUCUUGGU